AUAUGGGUGACUCUCCAGAUGCGGAUACGUAGGAAACGUUGGUCCCCACGUCCGCAGAAUAUCCGGACAGUGAAACACGUACGUACGUACGUACGUUCGUAUACGGAGGACGAAUUUGAACCAGGGUGGACGUCGACAGUCGCUCCCCACGUGGUCCGAGGGAAGGUUGACCCUUAAUUUCGGUCCGUUGUCUCGCCCGUAACUUGCGGACGAACCAAAAAUAACGUCGCAAACUAACUCGUACUCUACGAUCUGGAAAAGACGCGGCGGAAUUUAGUUGGAAACGGUUCAUUUUUAUCGCGGUAUAAUAUAAAAUGGCUAAUUUUCGGUGACGUACAAGUUACGAGUUCUAAAAAUUACGUCGACGAAGUGCAGUGCGGAGUGUGGACGGUAAUUUUAUUUUCGGAAUCACACGUCGGUGUCCCGAAAUAAUCCGCGCUGAUUUUUCCUUCGAUUCGGAAUACUCGGACGAAGACGCGCUGCGAAAGGACCGAACCCCGUCGUCGGACUCUACCUUCGUCGGCAGGACCGCGUAGGGAUCGAAAAAUUCACUAGAAACAAAAGGAGGGACGAAGAUAAAGACGA